UUUUUUUUUUUUUUUUUUUUUUUUAAAGAAGCAGUUGCAGGGGGAAGAGAUGAUUCACAUGAUACUUUGAUAUUUCCUGUUUUUAGGAGCUCGUGUUCAGCCUGCAACUUAUUUCUUAAAAAAAAAAAAUUAGAAGUGAUUGAAAUCCUGUGUGCGCGUUUUUUAGAUGUUUAAAAAGAAAGCGUGGGUGAGGCCCCUGGGAAAAGCCCAGCUCCAAGCUUACAACCUGUUGCAGCUUUGCCCCACUGUGUUUUGAUUAGAAGGCUUGCUUCGUCAUCAGAGCUGAUUGUGGAUUUGAUUAGUGUGUUUUUCUGCCGUGGGUUGUUCUCUUUCCCCCUUUCUCAGUUCUUGGAGGCGAACGAAUGCACAUUGUGGUUAUCUGCCAACAGGCGAGAAUGUUUACGGUUCACGUAUCACUGCCUCUCCCCUGGGUUAAUUCUCUAGAGACACUUUAAAGGUAGAGUAGGGGGUUUAUUUGGGCGAUCACUCGGUGUGUAUACAUCUUUGUAUAAAUAUGCCUACGUCUACACACACACACACACACACACACACACACGUACACAGCUCUAUACACAUGGAAAAGCUUCAAGUAUGGAGCACAUGUAAUCACACACGUACUUCAAAAGGGAGGCUGGGCGAGUUACAGCCUAAAGUUCAGCUUUGAUAAUGGCUGGGUUUACAUCUUGCUUUUCACACUUUCUCGGUGACCAAGAUUUGAAACACCGGCUCGCUGCCCAUUUUUAUUUACUUACAAGAUGUGAGGGCUGCAGCUUCACCAGGGGUGCUCUACUCAGACCCCUGUCCGUCUCCUGAAGCCGGUGUGCAAACCCACACUGCCCAACAAGAUUUUGGCUGAGAGUCAAGAACUGUCAUUUCUUAAUUCAGCCUUGAUGCUGGGAAAGGGUCCUUCACAGAACAUUCGCUCGCUAUCGGGUCAUCUGCAGCAUCCCUUAUACCGCUGUCACUUCAUAUGAGACACAGAAACUGAGCAAAGGUGAAACAGUUGGCGUGGUUUGUGUGUGGAAGCUAAGGUCAAGACUGGUCAGCAGCUGGAAACAUCCCCGUGCAGUAACUCAGGCUUUAUUGACAGCAGAUCUGGAUUCAAAUCCUGGCUUUGGGCAUGUUACUUGGUACUGAUAAACCACAUGUUUUUUUUUUUUUUUUAGUGAUGAUGCUUAUCGGCUGUAAGAAUUCAGUCAGAUAGCACAGGUGGGAUGCCAGGUACAGGGCCUGGACUGUACUGAGCAAGGACUAUGCAGUCCUGCUUAUUUUGACAACCCAACAUCAGACCGUGGCUCGUGUCUGCCUCGCCCUGAGCUUGUGUUCCAUCUACCUGCUUCCCAAGUGGAGAGCUGACCACAGGGACAGACAGGUGGCUUGUAGCACCGAAGGCCACCGCACAGCAGUGCUCUGGUUCACUGACUUGGGAAUAUGAGUAAACUCUGAACAAAGAAAUGACUUGCAGAGUUGUUCACUGAACUUCCACAUUUUAGUCACAGGCACACCAUCCCUAAAAUGGCAACCCAACUGAAGGUUCUGCUCCAGGCUAAACUGGCAGCAGGCCUCCUUUAUACGGCUCCUCUCUUAGCCGCCAGUGUUUGAGGUGGUGGGAUGCAGCUGCCCAGUCUGAUAGUCCAGCUCCAGUCAGAACUCAGCAAAUCUCAGGCCUGUUGCCUAGGCUUCCUGAUGGCUGCUUACGGUUCUACGGGCAGAAGGGAGGCCCUUUUCCCUCCUAGCUAAGUAGUGGGAAUUAAGCCUCGUGACCAGUUUGGUCAGUAAGGUGCCCCAAGGCCUGAUGGCCAGCUGCCCCUUGGUGUUUUACCAAUAGCCACAGGACCAGUUCUCAAUGGCUACUCUGUCUUGUGGUCAUGUUGUUCGAGAGGACGGACAGUGCAUUCAUAGAACAUUUUGGGCAUAAUGGGCCAUGUGAUUCAGAGAAAAAAAAAAACUUGGUCAGGCUUUUGUGCUUCUAUCUAUGCUCAGACAAUAGCAAGUGACUCAGACGUUUUCACUGGGGCCCCCGAGUCACCCAUAUAAGACUUGAAAAAUGACUCAUGACUCAGCGCCCCUUUCCCAAGGCAGACAAGCCCUCACUUCUGCUUUGCAGACAAAGACCCAACAGCUUCAGGAUGGUUUGUCCCUCCUUCCAAAUGAACUCUCAGCACGAUCAGGUAUACUGCAUAUGUGGCAUUGGUGAAGUCACGGUUGCCCUACCACGUUUUGUUCCUAUAUUCCUGGCAGAAAAGGGAAAGUAAGACCUGAUUCCUCCUCCAACGGGAUUCUUCUUGGGGGUUGAGAAGUCAACUCCUCAUGACCGUGUGACAGAUUAGGGACAACUGUAACAGGGCUGAGGAGGUGGCUCAGUGGGUAAAGUGUUGGUUGCGAACCCAUGAGGUUAGUGCCCAGAACUUA
rnacentral:lncRNA from 1 species